rnacentral:misc_RNA from 1 species
GAUGAAGAACGUAGCGAAAUGCGAUACGUAAUGUGAAUUGCAGAAUUCAGUGAAUCAUCGAAUCUUUGAACGCAUAUUGCGCUCUCUGGUAUUCCGGAGAGCAUGCUUGUUUGAGUAUCAGUAAACACCUCAACUCCCUUUUCUUUUUUGAAAUUGGAGCUGGACUUGAGUGAUCCCAACGCUUUCUUCCAAGAAAGUGGCGGGUUGCUUGAAAUGCAGGUGCAGCUGAACUUUUCUCUGAGCUAUAAGCAUAUCUAUUUAGUCUGCCUAAAAAACAGAUUAUUACCUUUGCUGCAGCUAACAUAAAGGAGACUAGUUCUUGUGCUGACUGAUGCAGGAUUCACAGAGACAGCUUCGGCUGACUUUGUAAACUCGAUCUCAAAUCAAGUAAGACUACCCGCUGAACUUAAGCAUAUCAAUAAGGGAGGA